rnacentral:rRNA from 1 species
UACGGAGGGUGCAAGCGUUAUCCGGAUUCACUGGGUUUAAAGGGUGCGUAGGUGGGCAGGUAAGUCAGUGGUGAAAUCUCCGGGCUUAACCCGGAACUGCCGUUGAUACUAUUUGUCUUGAAUAUAGUGGAGGUGAGCGGAAUAUGUCAUGUAGCGGUGAAAUGCUUAGAUAUGACAUAGAACAUCGAUUGCGAAGGCAGCUCGCUACACUAUUAUUGACACUGAGGCACGAAAGCGUGGGGAUCGAAACAAGG